AGAUAGUUGAAGUUGUUUGCUGCAGGUUGACUCCACUACAGUCAAACCUAUAUAAACAUUUUAUACAAUCCAAAAAUGUUAAGCGGGCAAUUACUGAAGAACUGAAGCAAUCAAAGAUUUUGGCCUACGUAACAGCUCUCAAAAAGUUGUGCAAUCAUCCAAAGGUUCCUAUAAAUGCUGCUGGUUUGAUCAGAUAUAACUGGUGCCACCCCUUUUUUGGUAAAAUUAUCAUCCAUCUCAUGAAUAUGAUAAUAUAUAGCUCACUGCUGCAGCUGUGAAAGAUUGGAGGUUCCUAUAUCAAUAUCCUUUUGGGUUGAGUAGGUGGCUACCUUACCCUCUGGUUGACUUGGUUCCUAUAAAUUCUACUGGUUUGAUCAGAUAUAGGUGGUGCCACCCCUUUUUUGGUAAAAUUAUCGUCCAUGUCAUGAAUAUGAUAAUAUACAGCUCACUGCUGCAGCUGUGAAAGAUUGGAGAUACUGGAAGGACUUCUUGAACUACUACAGAAUAAAGAAUGUGCUCACUGGAAAGCUAAGUAGUUGCUUCUGAAAAAUAACCUAGAACCAAUGAAUUUUCCCACGUAUUGAGGAGUUGCAUCUACACUGCUGUCUUUGCCUUGCCAUUAUUGUCGUCACAGUCGUAGCUGUUAUUUACCAUAUUUUUUAGGUUUGUAUUUCUUUGACUCACAACAAUGAUAAUUGAAUGCUUCUUUGUAUAUGACAUGAUGUAUUAUAUAACUAAAUUAUGAGCAUUGUGAGCGAACCUUAGU